rnacentral:rRNA from 1 species
UACGAGGGGGGCAAGCGUUGUUCGGAAUUACUGGGCGUAAAGCGCACGUAGGCGGGUUGUUAAGUCAGGGGUGAAAUCCUGGAGCUCAACUCCAGAACUGCCUUUGAUACUGGCAACCUAGAGACUGGAAGAGGUUAGUGGAAUUCCCAGUGUAGAGGUGAAAUUCGUAGAUAUUGGGAAGAACACCAGUGGCGAAGGCGGCUAACUGGUCCAGCACUGACGGCUGAGGUGCGAAAGCGUGGGGAGCAAACAGG